rnacentral:lncRNA from 1 species
UUGAACCCGGGAGGCGGAGGUUGCGGUGAGGUGAGAUCGUGCCAUUGCAUUCUAGCCUGGGCAAAAAGAGCAAAACUCCGUGUAAAAAAAAAAAAAAAGGAUAUUCCAAGAUUAUUUCGGAACCCACACUAUACAUCUAGAAAUGUGUUCAAGCCUUCUCAGGCCUGCUGCGAAUAGCCCCUUCUUCUGUCCACCCCAGGAUGUGGUGGGGAUCCUGAUUUUGGCUUGUCUAAUGCAGCUCUAUGGUAAUGCUGUGUGG